rnacentral:rRNA from 1 species
AACGAACGUUGGCGGCGUGGAUGAGGCAUGCAAGUCGAACGCGAAAGCCGCAAGGCGAGUAAAGUGGCGGACGGGCGAGUAACACGUAAUCAAGCUACCUGUGAGACGGGGAUAACUUCGGGAAACCGAAGCUAAGACCCGAUGGCCUUAGGAGACCGCAUGGUUUCCUAAGUAAAUGGGCGAGACCUUUCGGGGUCGCCUGCUCGCAGAGGUGAUUGCGGCCCAUCAGCUAGUUGGUAGGGUAAUGGCCUACCAAGGCAACGACGGGUAGCCGGCCUUAGAGGGUGGUCGGCCGCACUGGGACUGAGACACUGCCCAGACUCCUACGGGAGGCUGCAGUCGAGAAUCUUCCGCAAUGGGCGAAAGCCUGACGGAGCGACGCCGCGUGGAGGAUGAAGGCC